rnacentral:rRNA from 1 species
UACGUAGAUGGCAAGCGUUGUCCGGAAUUAUUGGGCGUAAAGCGCGCGCAGGCGGCCUCUUAAGUCUGAUGUGAAAGCCCCCGGCUCAACCGGGGAGGGCCAUUGGAAACUGGGAGGCUUGAGUAUAGGAGAGAAGAGUGGAAUUCCACGUGUAGCGGUGAAAUGCGUAGAGAUGUGGAGGAACACCAGUGGCGAAGGCGACUCUUUGGCCUAUAACUGACGCUGAGGCGCGAAAGCGUGGGGAGCAAACAGG